GUCAGUCUUAAGAUCUCUAUUUCACUUGUAGGAGAUGGGCUGGCACUGUACAAUAAAAUGGGAGAGAGCAAACAAAAAGAGGGUUUGAACUUGAAGCAAGUGGUUAACUUUCCAUCCUCUUUGUCACCUGUGGCUUCGGCUGAAUCAUUGGCUUCAUGAGUUGUCUUGCUAUUCCAAAUAGUUUGCUACUAUUUUAGACCACAUUGUCCAAGAUGUGAGACCUGGUAUAUUCUAUUUGAUUGUUUGCUUUCUAAGUCUAUGAAGUCUUCUUCAAGUGGAGUUCCUAGCACAAG
rnacentral:lncRNA from 1 species